rnacentral:lncRNA from 10 species
GAGAUUGCUAUUCUAAUUUCAGGCAAAACAGACUUUAAGCCAACAGUGAUCAAAAACAGAAAAAGAAGGUCAUUACAUAAUGGCAGAGGAUUCAGUUCAAUGAGAAGACCUAACUAUCCUAAAUACAUAUGCACCCAACACAGGAACAUCCAGAUUCACAGAGCAAGUUUUUAGAGACCUAUGAAGAGACUUAGGUAACCACAGGAUAAUAGUGGGAGACUUAAAUACCCCACUAAUAGUAUUAGACAGAUCAUUGAGACAGAAAACUAACAAAGAUUUUCAGAACCUGAACUCAAUUAUUUGACUGAAUGGGCCUAACAUAUAUCUACCAAACUCUCUAACUAAAAACACAACAUACAAUCUUCUCUUCUGCACAUGGCAUAUACUCUAAAAUCGACCACACAAUCAGCCAUAUAACAAUCUUCAGCAAAUUUUUAAAAACCAAAAUCAUAACAAACACACUCUUAGGCCGCAGCACAAUAAAAACAGAAGUCAAUACUAAGCUCAAAACCAUACAAUUACAUGGAAAUUAAACCACCUACCCCUGAAUGACCUCUAGGUAAACAAUGAAAUUAAGGCAGAUAUCAAGAAAUUCUUUGAAACUAAUGAGAACAAAAUACAACAUACUAGAAUCUCUAGGACAUAACUAAAGCAGUGUUAGGGAAAUGUACAGUGCUAAAGACCCACAUAAAAGUUGGAAAGAUAUCAAAUUACAACCUAACAUCACACCUAGAGGAACUACAGAAACAAGACCAAACCAACCCCAAAGCUAGCAGAAGACAAGAAAUAACCAAAAUCCGAGGUGAACUGAAGGAAACUGAGAUGUGUAAAACAUUAAUACAAAAUAUUAAUGAAUCCAAGAGUUUAGUUUUUGAAAGAAUAAACAACAUGGAUAGACCACUAGCUAGAUUAAUUAAAAAAAGAGAGACGAUGCAAAUAAACACAACAAGAAAUGAUAAAGGGGACAUUACCACUGGCCCCACAGAAAUACAAAACCCCUUACAAACUAGAAAACCUAGAUGAAAUGGAUAAAUUCCUAGAAACACACAAUGUCCUGAGAUUGAACCAGGAAGAAAUUCAAUCCCUGAACAUAUGAAUAACAGGUUCUGAAAUCAAAUCAGUAAUAAAAAGCUUACCAACCGAAAAAGACCCAGGACCAAAUGCAUUCAUAGCCAAAUUCUAAACAAUGUAUAAAUAAGAAUUGGUAUCAUUUCCACUGAAACUAUUCCAAAAAAUUGAGGAGGAAAAACAAAGUCAACAAAAACAAGCAACAGGGGAAAGAGUCCUUAUUCAAUAAAUGGCGCUGGGGUAACUGGCUAAUCAUAUGCAGAAGAUGGAAACUGAAUCCCUUCUUUACACCACAUACAAAAAUCAACUCAAGAUGUAUUAAAGACUUAAAUGUAAUACUUAAAACCAUAAAAACCCUUGAAGAUAACUUAGGAAAUGCCUAUCUGGACAUAGGAGGAAAUGCCAUUCUGCACAUAGGACCUGGCAAAGAUUUCAUUUCAAAAACACCAAAAGCAAUUGCAACAAAAACAAAAAUUGAUAAAUGGGACUUAAUUAAACUAAAGAACUUCUGCACAGCAAAAGAAACUAUCAACAGAGUAAACAGACAAUACCAAAUAAGAGAAAAUAUUUGCAAACUAUGCAUCCUACAAAGGUCUAAUAUCCAGAAUCUAUAAGGAGGUUAAACAAAUUCAAAAGAAAAAAAAACAAGCAAUCCCAUUUAAAAGUGGGCAAAAGACAUUAACAGAUACUUUUCAAAAGAAGACAUACACACAGCCAACAAAUCCAUGAAAAAAUGCCCAACAUUACUAAUCAUUAAAUAAAUGAAAAUGAAAACCACAAUGAACUACCAUCUCACACCAGUUAGAAUGGCAAUUACUAAAAAGUCAAAAAGUAAGAGAUGCUGGUGAGGUUGCAGAGAAAAGGGAAUACAUAUGGAAUACUACACAGCCAUAAAAAAGAACGAGAUCAUUUCCUUUGCAGAAACAGAUAACCAAACAUGGCAUGUUCUCAUCUAUAAGGGAAAGCUAGAUAUUGAGUACAUAUUGAAACAAAGAAGAGAACAGACGCUAGGGCCUACUUGAGGGUAGAAGGUGGGAGGAGGGUGAUGAUUGAAAAACUACCCAUAGGCUACUGUGUUUAUCACCUGGGUGAUGAAAUAAUCUGUAUACCAAACCACACACAAUUUACCUAUAUAACAAAGCUGCUCAUGUACCCCUAAACCUAAGAUAAAAUUAGAAAAUUAAAAUUAAAGGCAAAAAGCUAGAGUACUAUAUUAAUAGCAUAGGAAAUUGGUUUUCUGAAGAAGGAAUAUUACCACGAAUAAAGAUGCAUAUUUCAUAAUGAAAGCCAGUAAAUUCAGUAAGAAGACAUCAAAAUCCCAAAUGAGUUUAUGCACCUAAUAAUAGAGCUUUAAAAUGUGAAGCAAAAAUUGGUAUUACUGAAAUAGUGUUUUAAAUCCAAAUUUCCAUCUAGAAAUUUUAGCAUUCUUCUGUAAGUAACUGAUAGAACAAAUUUUUUAAAAAAUAAUAAAAAUGUAAAGGACUGCAAUAACGCUAUCAAUCAACUGGACCUAAUUGACAUUUAUCCAUCAGUAUACCAAACAUAAGCACAGACCAUACUUGUGAGUAUAAAAUAGAAGCCACAAUAAGCUUAUAAAGAUUCAUAUUAAACAAAGCGUGUUCCCUGAACAUAUGGAAUGAAACCAAAAAUCAACAGAAGAGUAUCUAAGAAAUCCCCAAAUUUGGAGGAAUUAAGCAACAUACUACUAAAUAGACUCUGGGCCAAAUAUGUCAUGAGAGAAAUUAGAAAAUCUUCUCAAUUGAAAGAUAACAAAAAUACAUAUCCUAGAUCCAUAAGGUGUACCUAGAAAUUAAAAUAUUUUAAAUAUUGCCAGUAGCAUAGGAAAACAUAAAAUACCUUGGAAUUUUUUUGAUUGUGGUAAAAUUCAGGUGUCAUAAAAGUUACCAGCUUAAUAAUUUCUAAUUAUAUAGUUCAACAGUGUUAAGUAUACUUAAACUGUUGUGAAAUUAAUCUCUAGGACUUUUUCAUCUUGCAAAACUGACGUUCUGUACCCAUAACACAACUCCCCCUGUCUCUCCAGCCAUGGCAACUGCUAUUCUAAUUUCUAUCUCUAAAUUUGAAUUUGCCUAGUCAAGGUACCUUAUUUAAGUAAGGUACAUGAAAACUGGAAUUUAUCAAAAUUAAAAGUCUACUCUUUGAAAGACACUGUUAAGUAAUGAAAAAUCAAGACAAACACCAGAUGGAAAUAUUUUCAAAAGAUAUAUCUAAACAAAAACUUGUAUUUAGAAUAUAUAAAUAUCCCUUACAGCUAAAUAAUACUUGGGAAAAAAACAACAGAUUUUUUAAAUGAUCAAAGGAUUUGAACACACACUUCACCAAAGAAGAUAUAUGAAUACAAAUAAACACAAAAAAAGCUGUUCAACAUCAUUCAUUAUCAGAGAAAUGCAAAUUAAAACUAAAAUGAGAUAUUGCCACAUGCCCACUGGACUGGCUAAUAUUAAAAAGACUAACAAUUUCAGACACUGGUGAGCCUGUGAAGCCACUGUAACUCUCAUAGAUUGCUCAUGGGACUGUAAGAUAGGAAAACUGCUUUGAAAAAUAUUUUGGCAGUUUCAUAUAAAAUUAAACAUACAUUUACUGUAUAGCCCAGCAGUUCCAUUCCUGGGUAUUUGUCCAAGAGAAGUGAAACCAUAUGCCCUCAGAAAGACUUGUACAUGAACAUUCAUAGCACCUUCAUUUGUUAGAGCCAAAAACUGAAAAUAACCCAAAUGUCUAUCAACAGGUGAAUAGAUGAUCAAAUUGUGGUAUGUACAUCCAUACAAUACUCGGCAAUAAAAGGAAUGAACUACAAAUGCAUGUAAUAACAUGAGUGAAUCUCAAAAACAUUAUGAUGAGUGACAGACACCAGAUACAAAAACAGUACAUACUGUAUGAUCCCAUUUAUACAAAAGUCUAGAAAAUAUGAUAUAAUUUAUAGCAUCAAAAAGCAGAUGAAUAUUCACCUGGGAUAAGGUAGUAGGAUUGGGAAUUGUCUAGUAAGGGGCAAAAGGGAAAUUCAGGGGAUUAUGGAAAGGUCUUAUUAAUUCAGCUAGGUUUGACCUUAACUUGCAAACCUCCCCAAACUGGAACCUUCCUAUUUGCCCAAGGGGACACUGUGAACUGGGCCUUCCAGUUGCACCUAAAUGGCAAUGCUCUGUCAUCUUGCUGAUAAACAACAUGAAUUAGUGCCCACAUGGAUCUCCACUUGGGUACUACUACUCUGAAUUAUUAGACUUGUGAUCUUGUCAAUGUUACUUAGUCACCCUGAGCCUCAUCUGUAAAGCAACGUCCUUAUCUGUGAAGAAAACAAAAGAACAAUCUCACAGGCUUGUUGGCAGAUUAUAUAAAAUACAUAUAAUAACUCUGAAUAGUCACAUUAGUUAUCUUCAUUGUAUUUAUAAUGAUACAUUAGUAUCAUUAUCAUUGUAUUAGUUCAUUCUCACGCUGCUAUGAAGAAUAAAUUAUCCAAGACUGGGUAAUUUAUAAAGAAAAAUGUUUAAUUGACUCACAGUUCUGCACGGCUGGGGAGGCCAGGAAACUUACAAUCAUGAAGGAAGGUACCUCUUCACAGAGCAGCAGGAGAGAGAAUGAGUGCCCAGUGAAGGGGGAAGCCCCUUAUCAAACCAUCAGAUCUCAUGAGAACUAACUCACUAUCACAAGAACAGGAUAAGAAAACCACCCCCAUGAUUCAAUUAUCUCCACCUGGUCCCUCCCCACAACACAUGGGGAUUAUGGGAACUACAAUUCAAGGUGAGAUUUGGGUGGGGAUACAGCACCAUAUCAAUCAUCAUUAUACUUAGGUUGUUGAAAUAAUUCUGUAUACAAGUUUAGCCUUUAAAAAAGUCAUUACUUUCCCUGAAGCAUGUCAGAGUAACUCUUCUCCCCACAGUCUUACAAUAGGCAUCUUUCAUUGUUUGGGACAAUAGCUUACUUAACUUCUAUUUAUCCUCUGAAAUUUCUUGCAGUAAGCCAUUCAGAGGCUUUGUCCAUUUGCUUGGACCAUUUUCCUUGCCCUUGCUUCUUUAGGAUAUCCUCUAGCUGCUAGCUGUUUUGAUUUUCUUUUUCUUUUCCUUUUCUUUUUUUUUUUUUUUUUUGCUCAGGCUAGCAUGCAGUGGUGUGAUCUCGGCUCACUGCAACCUCCGCCUCCCAGGUUCAAGUGAUUCCUGUGUCUCAGACUUGCAAGUAGCUGGGAUUACAGGUGCCUGCCACCAUGCCCGGCUAAUUUUUGUAUUUUCAGAGAGACGGGUUUUUGCCAUGUUGGCCAGGCUGGUCUCGAACUCCUGACCUCAGGUGAUCUGCCUGCCUCACCCUCCCAAAGUGCUGGGAUUACAGGCGUGAGCCACUGUGCCAGGCCUGUUUUGAUUUUCUAAGAAAAAAGCUGAGCAAAAGGACUGCAAAAUGACUGCAGACAAUAUUUUGUAAAAUUACAGCAAUAAAAUUAAAGUAUCAAUUACUUGUGAAGUUAAUAGACUUUUUUGUGACCCCGAACACAUUUGGGGACAGCUGACAGUGCUGUGUCUAUUUGGGCCAAGGUCAGUAGAGAAGUGAUUUUCAAGGAAGUUCUGCAUGUGAGUGUUGUCAAAUUAUUGUUAAGUGGUUUUCAGAAACCCUGACCAUAACAGAAUCAUUCUCAUUUCCUGAAUAAUGAAAGAGCUCCAAGUCUUGUCUGGCCAUUUUUGCUAUUUGCCCCUUAUAUUUCAUAAGCCUGAGGUGGCUACACUUGGGUGUCAACUUCCCUCUCUCUGGCUAAUAAGGAUUGGUCUCCAUGACUCCACUUAAAGUGUUCUUGUAAAGAGAAUCAACGUCUUCCAUAUUGCCAAAUUCACUGAUCCUUUCUCUCCCUCCAACUGCCCAGUGGCAUUCAACAUUAUUGACCAUUUUUUGCUUCUUUGAGGCACUUCCUUCUUGUGGCUUCCGGGACACCAUAUUCUUCUGGUUUUCCACCCUCUAUACUAGCUGUUGCUGCUGAGCCUUCUUUGCCAGAUCUUUAAAUGUCAGAAUGUUGUAGGGGCCCAUCUUGGGGCACAUUUUCCCUAGCUGCAGUCCUCUGACUUGGCAUCUAGUGAGACGCAGAUUUCAAUCUCCAGCCCUGACCUCUUCAAGAACCCCUGACUCAUAAUUACCUCUGUGAAAACUCCACAAGAAUUCCCAAAAGGGAGUUCUUCAUAUUUCUGCACAGGCCUAGUCCCUCCCUAGUUGACCUGGUUAGUCAACCUACAUGAAUAAAUAACAUCACCAUCCUUCCGGUAGCUCAAGCCAAAAUCCUAGCAGUCAUGAUUGGUUCCUCUGUUUCCCCAUCACCCGUGCUCAGAGUCCAAUCCUAUUGGCUCUACCUCCAAAAUGUAUCCCAAUAAUUUCACCCCUUUCUCCUUCCAUCCUCCCAGCUGUCCUGACAGUAACUCUCAUCUGUAAACUCUAACAGCUCACAACUGACCUCUCCGCUUCUGCCAUUACCUCUCCUAUUCUACAGAGACUACCCAGGAUAAUCUUUGUAAAAACAUAAAUCAGAUGAUGUUUAAACUUGAAUCUGGGGCCUAGCAGUUGUGUGUAGGUAAGGAGAGAAAGGGGAAUAGGGAGGUGGAGACUCUGACCCUUACUCAUCUUCUCAGAGGGCAGUUCUUCCUGUCCAGCUGUUUGCAUGAGGUUCAUGCAGGAAGGGCUAGAGCCGGGUUCCAUGUUGGCGGGAAAUCUCGCUACUCACAGGGAAGCUCCUUAGGACCUGAGGUAUGUGUGAGGGGCGCAGGCUCUUUUUCAACCUGGGCUUAUCUCCAGACAAAUGAAGUU